UACGUAGGGUGCGAGCGUUAAUCGGAAUUACUGGGCGUAAAGGGCUCGUAGGCGGCCAACUAAGUCAUACGUGAAAUCCCUCAGCUUAACUGGGGAACUGCGUGUGAUACUGGAUGGCUUGGAUUUGGGAGAGGGAUGCGGAAUUCCAGGUGUAGCGGUGAAAUGCGUAGAUAUCUGGAGGAACACCGGUGGCGAAGGCGGCAUCCUGGACCAAUAUUGACGCUGAGGCACGAAGGCCAGGGGAGCAAACGGG
rnacentral:rRNA from 1 species